AACGUAGGUGGCAAGCGUUAUCCGGAUUUACUGGGCGUAAAGCGUGUGCAGGCGGCGUGAUAAGUGGUGUAUGAAAUCGCCGCGCUUAACGUGGCGGGGUUAUGCCAGACUGUCACACUUGAACCCAUCAGAGGGACGUUGGAAUUCCGGGUGUAGUGGUGAAAUGCGUAGAGAUCCGGAGGAACACCAGAGGCGAAAGCGGCGUCCUGGGGUGUGGUUGACGCUCAGACACGAAAGCAUGGGGAGCGAACGGG
rnacentral:rRNA from 1 species